rnacentral:misc_RNA from 1 species
UCAUCGCCUGCGCGCUGGAACGGGCGGGUUCGACGUGCGUAUGCGUGUCUGCACAGCUGCACUGAUCUUUUUCGUUCUCGUGUCGUCGUUUUCAGGCGCUGCGCUCGCGCACAGACUCUUUGAUACUUCCUUCGUGUUUUUUUUCCGUUUCGUUGCGGUCUUUGGUCCUCACCGCAGCGCCGACUUACGACGUUGCUGGCGUGGCGGUGCGCUUCUCUCGUGUCACCCUCAAGCAGAAGCGAGAGAGAAAGAGAGACACCUCCGUAAGUCACUCACAUCACCUCGACCAGCGACGACUUUGUAAUCCUAAUAAGGGAGGCAUGAUACCCGCGCGAACAUAAGAACACGCAUACCUACACAGAUUGGCGCAUACCUAGUCGUAUGUGCGAUUGUGACGCUGCACUGCGCAUCCAUUCCACUCGCCCUUCCCCGUAGUUUCUUCUCUUCUCGGUAUUGCCUCGCUGCUACGAUCUAACGCUUGCGUGGGCCCCCUCCCCCUGCUGCACCUGCUCUCUUCGCUCGACACCCAGGCACGCCUCGCACUCACUGUGAAGUUUUGCCAUGAGCAAGUACUCUCUGUUGUUCAAUCAAGGCACCAAAGAUGGUACCGACGCCUCCGGCAGCAGUGGUGGUCGCACUAGCUCAUCGGCGCAGACUAGCACCACGAAUGCUAGCAGCCCGGUUCUCUUGGAUUCGGCCGUGCCAUCUCCGGCAACUGCGACUCCACCGCGGCGCCGCCUGAUCCGCCGCCGUCGCGGCUGUGUUGGCGCAGCAGAAGCGUCGUUAUCGUUGCCUGAGCCGCCUCAGCAGCCGCAGCAGGAGGAGCAUGAGAAUGUGAUCAGCGACUCGGUGCAUCAUGGCAGCAGCAGUGGCAUUUCAGAGAGCGAUUCGAAUGUGCUGGCCACGUCUGGCGGUGGUUCUGUUACGUCUGCCACGCCGGACAUCGCUUUUAAGGUUCCAUCACCGCCCGUGGCGUCAGCGUCGCCGUCUUUGGAGGGCACUGCUGCGCUAGAAUCGGACGGUGACGUGGCGAUAGAUGACAUGAUAAAGGACCAGGAAGGCAACAGCGACGGGAGCACGGGCGCAACUAGCGCGGCAGCCGCAGGACACGUUAUGAGGUCUGAUGGCGACUCUCCUCUCAGCGGCGGUGGCCCUGACCCUCUGCUGCCUGCCGCCUCAUGCUCGGCUGCGUCCCAACACAUCCCGCCGCGUCUCUUUACGUGUGACAUGUGUUUGCACUACGUCUCCACCUCUUACGAGGCCCUCGAGCAGCACGCGCUCGAGCAGCAUGGCGACGCGUUGGCCGACUACACCCGUCUGCGCAGCGUCGCAGAAAAGCUGGUGCCAGUGUGGGGUGAAGUUCUGCAGCGGAAGGCGUCUGUCGUCCAGCAAUGGGGUGAGAGGAUCUUCGCCGUUGCCGUGCAGCGCGAUGCGGGGGCGGAGAAGAUGGCCGAAGCUCACCGGGCAAGGGCGCAGCUGGAACUAGUCGUGCAGCGCUGGCACCCGCGGGCGAAGGUGUUCAUCUUUGGCAGCUCCGUCGCAUUUGGUGUGUGGGACGGCAUCUCUGACAUCGACUUUACCGUCGUGGACGUCGAGGAGUUGGAGGCGGGGACGUGGCCGCCUUCAGAGAAGAACGCGGUGCGCAGCAUCACAGAGCUGCUGCGCCGCGCCGGCUUCUCCUUCAUCAACCUGGAGCCGAUCAGCCACGCACGAGUGCCGAUCAUUAAGCACCACGCUUCGCUGCCGAUCCGACUGACCGAUGAACAGCGGCACCGCCUGCAUGAAGAGGCGCGGCAAUCCGCGGCGGCAGUAGAUCUGUCGACGGCAGAGUCGCUCGCGUCGUCGUCCCCGUCGAGUGCGCAAGAGGCGCCAGCUGAGAGGGGCCACACACAGCUCGAGGCGGAGCUCAUAAUUGCGCGCAGCGUGCGUUACUCGCUCAACUUGCCGGCAGGGCCGCCCGACAGCGCCAUCCUUGAGGCGAGCAUUCGGCUGGCUGUGGGGUCGGCAGCUGUUCAGCAGGUGUGGUGGAACCGCACGCGCGACAUGUGCUGCAUGACGUUUGAUACGACAACGAACGCCGUCAAGGCCUCAACGUGCCCGCUGCACUUUACGUCGGCUGGCAUGCGAGCACGGGUGCAGCCGCUGCACGAGGAGUGCCGGCCUGAGCUGUACGGUAUGGAUUUUGACCUCAGUUUCCGCGCAUUCGGCAUCCGCAACUCGCACCUGCUGCGGCGCUACCUGCUCAGCCACCCAUGCGCGCGACCCGGUGCUCUGGUACUGAAGGACUGGUCCAAGACGAGCGGCGUCAACAACUCGGUCAACGGAUAUCUGACAAGCUAUGCCAUCAACAUUAUGUGGAUCUACUACCUCGUGCAUCGCGGCGUCAUUCCAUACGUGUGCCCGGCGCGCGACAUCCCUGCGUCGCUGCGGCGCAACGUCGACGCCGACCCACAGUACGCGGCUAUGGUCGACCCGGCGUGGACGCCUGAGGAGCGUGCCGCCAUGGAGACGCAGGCAGGUGAGUUGCUGCUCGGCUUCUUCUACUAUUACGCUUUCGAGUUCGACUGGGCCAAUCACGUCGUCUCGCUGAACCGCCCAGGAGUGACGACGAAGGCCGCGCUUGGCUGGGACGUGGAGGACGUGGCGCAGGCGAGCGGCCCUGUGCCGCACUUUAGCGUCACUGGCUGGCAGCAUCAGCACAACCUCGCCGGUGCGGAGGGGCAACACGGCGAUUUACACGGUGGGGCCGCUCCGGCUGCCUCUCAGACAAGAUCAUCAGCAGGGCACGAAGGGAUGAUUGCCAGCAACGCGAGCAUGUCAGCCCGCCGUAGCCGCACGACGACACGCUACUCCUUCUGCAUUGAAGAUCCGUACGAGGAAAACCUCAACCUUGGGCGGCACAUGGGCGUCACCAAGACGCUGCGCGUCCAGACAGAGCUCUACCGCGGCCUGCUGUCGCUGCUCAAAGAUGAUCUGCAGCACUGCUGUGUGUUCGCGGCUAGCGCGAACUCGGCCGGCAGCACCGACAGCAACGGUUCUACGGUUAGUGGUGCCGCUGAGCCUGCAACGCCGGCAGCCAAGACCUCUGCCGAACCCACGGAGCUGCCGGUGCGCGUGCUAUACAAGCUUAUGGCAGUCUCGACCCGCGAACUCGCCAUGGCGCGCAGGCGACAUUCUGCCACUGUCACUGCCGGUGCCGAGUUCCCCGGUGUUCCGCUCAGCGGCCUCGAGGCCGCCUUUCUGGUGCAGGCGCCGACCGAGUGGAAGCUGGCGACACAGGUGUGGAACAAGCAUCAGUUACUGCACCGGCUCGGGCUGAAGCUGCACGCCAGAGAGUACGUGCUGCCUCGGCGGGAGGUCGGCGUGCGGCGCUUGGCCUCCAAGGCACCGCCGGGGGUGGUGCUGGCAAGCACACCCGAGCCGACGUUCACUGCCGAGGAGGCCGCCGCCGCUGCUGCGGAGGGUAAGCGAGCACCAUCUUCAACUGAGCACGCCCCGAUCUCCAGUGCAGAGGUUACACAGAUGAAUCAGGCGUUUCUCGGCGCCUUACCCGCACGCCGCCUACCAGAGGACCUGCUGCUGGCCAUGACGAAGGGGUAUUCUUGCCUGACCCCCAGCUGGGUCGCAUGGACGAAGCCGUGGGCGGCAUUGUCAGCGUGGUGGACCGACCGCCUACACAGCCCAAGCACGCCGCCGCAGAGCGAGGACCCACUUGCAUCCGGAGCAUCCGGACAGGGAGGUGCCAGCCCUUCUCUACCUCCCGGUGCGCCGCGACACAUCUCUGCGGUGCCAGAGAAAUCGGCGGGGGCGAUGCACCAGACGCGAACGCAACUGCGGCGACACGUAGUGGCUGAGACAGCAAGUGUGUCGGCUGGCCGUCGAGCACUGCGCAUGCUGUUUCGCUGAUAGCGCGCGCGUGCAGGCCAUUGAAAGAGUGGGUUUGCGUGUGUGAGAUUUCUAUUCGUUUCCUCUUUCGUUUGCUCGCCGCCGCUGCCUCUCCGUCUCUCUGAAUCGCCCUCUUCCGGCACAGGGAGGCGUCGUCUCUGGUCGCUGUGUAGGUCUCUGCCUGCCGUACUCCUUUAUCGAAAUGCAAGCCGAAGGUGUUCCUAGCGUGCUGUUGAAUGCCUUCAGCCAUAAUGCUGCGGUCUGAAGAAACGAGGGAUGCAGCUAUGCGACAGCCGAUUCGCGGUUUGCGUUGCCGCCUCGCGCUGUUCCUGUAGCUUGUGUCUCCGUCGUCGUCCGCCUCUCCCACACCACCGCCACCACCCUCUCUGCAAGCGUGUGCUGAGGGGUAUUGAGGUGGGGGGGGCCCACUGCCGAAGAAGGCCACACGUACGUGACACGAACAUACAUUGCCUGCAUAUCUGUAAUGAGCAAGACCAACAGAAGGAGGCGAAACAACAACAGCCCCCCCCCUCCCACGAAGAAAAAGGGAAGAAGCGCUUGCAUAGAGGCUUUGCUACCCUGUGCAUGACGAUGAGAGUAGAUCCCGGAAGCGGUAGACGUUGCUCGCUAACGCUUCUUCUCUCUGUCUCCGUCCCUGGACCUCCUUAUCGUUUCGCUUGCGGUGGAAGAGAAACUGCCUGGGUGGUUCGACUG